rnacentral:rRNA from 1 species
ACGAACGCUGGCGGCGUGCUUAACACAUGCAAGUCGAACGGAAAGGCCCUGCUUUUGUGGGGUGCUCGAGUGGCGAACGGGUGAGUAACACGUGAGUAACCUGCCCUUGACUUUGGGAUAACUUCAGGAAACUGGGGCUAAUACCGGAUAGGAGCUCCUGCUGCAUGGUGGGGGUUGGAAAGUUUCGGCGGUUGGGGAUGGACUCGCGGCUUAUCAGCUUGUUGGUGGGGUAGUGGCUUACCAAGGCUUUGACGGGUAGCCGGCCUGAGAGGGUGACCGGCCACAUUGGGACUGAGAUACGGCCCAGACUCCUACGGGAGGCAGCAGUGGGGAAUAUUGCACAAGGGGCGGAAGCCUGAUGCAGCAACGCCGCGUGCGGGAUGACGGCCUUCGGGUUGUAAACCGCUUUCGCCUGUGACGAAGCGUGAGUGACGGUAAUGGGUAAAGAAGCACCGGCUAACUACGU